UGGGGAAUUUUGCACAAUGGGGGAAACCCUGAUGCAGCGACGCCGCGUGAUUUAGAAGGCCUUCGGGUUGUAAAAAUCUUUUCUAUGGGAAGAAAAUGACAGUACCAUAGGAAUAAGGACCGGCUAAUUACGUGCCAGCAGCCGCGGUAAUACGUAAGGUCCGAGCGUUGUCCGGAAUCAUUGGGAGUAAAGGGUACGUAGGCGGGUAAGCAAGUUAGAAGUGAAAUCCUAUAGCUCAACUAUAGUAAGCUUUUAAAACUGCUCAUCUUGAGGUAUGGAAGGGAAAGUGGAAUUCCUAGUGUAGUGGUGAAAUGCGGAGAUAUUAGGAGGAAUACCGGUGGCGAAGGCGACUUUCUGGCCAUAACCUGACGCUGAGGUACGAAAGCGUGGGUAGCAAACAGG
rnacentral:rRNA from 1 species